CCCUAGCCCUGAUUGAAGCGGCAUCCUCUUGUUUCUCGUUUUUAUGAGAUAACAAGAGAUACAGCGGAAAGCGGGAAAUAGC
rnacentral:sRNA from 1 species